CUGUCCUCCCGUAUGGAAUGUUUGGCGCCGCUGAAGUUCGGCUGAAGUCACCCAAGGCGUAGGCAGACUCUCCAGACCAUCUUCUACCUGGAACUGCACUGAACUGGAUGCCAUGGGUGCACUACCUUCCUUGAUUUACUCUUUUGCCAAACUGGGAUGAACAAUUGUUGUACAAGAGGACAUGGCUUUAAGGUUGAUGAUCACCCUGAAGGUGAGAUGGCAUGGUUCUUGUCUUCUCAAUCCCAAGCAUGCGGAAUAUCUCAUGUCUGUGCUGACUCUCAAAAUCCCUUCCCUAAUC